ACCCCCUCCCGGGCCUCUUCCCGCAGCCGCCGCGGCCCGGCCCCCUUCCGGCGCCACCGGCCUUGCGGGAGAAGAAAGGAGAAGAAGGAAAGAGAGGAAGGAAGGAGAAGAAGAGAAGAAAAAAAGAAAAGGAAAGAAAAAGAAGAAAAAAGGAAAGAAAAAAAAAGGGAAGAAAAAAAAGGAAAGAAAAGAAAAUAAAGAAAAUAAAUAAAUAAAUAAAUAUGUAUAUAAAUGAACAAAUAAAUAAAUAAAUAAAUAAAUAAAAAUAUUAAAUUAUACCUUUAUUAUUUUAAAUAAUUUAAUAUUAUGUUAUUUUAAAUAAUUUUAUACCUUUAUUAAUGUAUUAUACUAUAAAUAUUAUAUUACAUAACAUUAC
rnacentral:lncRNA from 1 species